ACUUUGGGUUUGAGUGGUCAUGCUAGAGACAAAAACAGUCAUAGAUAAUUAUGAGGAUAGUAUCUUUCCGAUGGGGAUAAGAGAAUUCCUACUAUUCUCUUUCUUCUCUCAAUUGAAGAAA